UCAUCUUGUACAUUGGUGCAUAAUGAACACCAUGUAUGGAUUGAAAUCCCAUUUACAGGAUGUUCAGUUAUGGAACCUGUAAUCAGGAGAGGUGGAUUUUAAUCCCAGAGGUGUCGUUCCCUUAUUGUUUUUUAAAUUUAAGAUUUAUAGCUCUCCAACUUCCAGAAGAACUUGCUGAUGGUUUAUAGCAGCAAAGGUGGUGAAUGAGGGAUCCUUGAGGAGAAAACAGAAGCGAAACCACCUGAAGGAAGCGGGACGUGUUGAUGCUUCCAGGCACCAGAGUGAAGUUUGUCUCCCUGACAGUUAAUCCUGAGACAGCCUUCCAUCGCCUUGAUAGGCUUGUCAUUCAUGCCUUGACACCUCUCGUUCAUCUGAGGCUGGCCUGCUGGAUAUGCAAAUGAUAGGAGGACUGAAAAUCAUAAUCCUUCAGCCGUGAUGGCUAGUAUGUCAACGUCACUAUUCUUGGAACAAGCCAUUUUUCGCCUUUGCCCUAACAGAUGGGCUGAAAUGCAGUAAUUCCUACGGCCGCUCUGAAGACCACCUGCACAACUGAGCAAGAGGUUGUGCUUACAUGGUCACUGUGAACAUCAGACAGUCCAGGAAAUCCAAGAAGGCAGCUAACCAAAGGGACUUCAGCAUCUGGAAGAGUGGACUGAGGUGGGGGUGUACUUGACAGGGAUGGACACUGACCACACACCUCCUUGAAAGGUGUCGUGGCCCAUUACCAGCCAGUUUUCUUGGUGAGAAGUGACUCGAUCCUAAUGCUUUGGUGUGAGCCCACUGCCUCAGGAGAACUUGUUGGUCCUAACUAAGUAUGAAACCAGUUAUUAGAUAAAAUGUCUUUUUACCCCAAGGUCGGCAGGGAGAUGGGAAGGGCCACUUGUAUUUGCAGGGUCUGCCUGCUCCCGUUCUUGGCAGCACACAGCAGGGCUCCAGCAUCACCAAGCAUUGCACAUUCACUUUCCAAGUUCAAAGCGCAUCCUUGCAGCCUUUCAAGGAGGCUGACAUCCUUUCAAGUUCGCCGUUACAAAGGCAAAUGCAAAUAGAGCACGUUUCGGAGGCGUUGUGUCAGUCAGCCCUCAAUCUGUAUGUUCUUCCAGACACUGCUUCUCCUGCCUGAUUUAUUUCAUAUUAAAAGGGCUGUCAAUCUGCAUCAAGGGAACAGGUUGAGAAAGAGUGAGUGAUGUUUGUCGAGUGGGCUCUUUGUUGUUGUUUGUUAUUGUUAAAAAUAACGGUCCCCCCAUCUUUGUGGCCAUAUUCCUGACUCACCCCACACAGCUCUCCCCACCCCUGCUUACCUUGUCUGCAGGUAUCUACACACCAGGGAUAUGAAUUCCACGUACUAGAAACAUUUCCAUUCGGAAUGUAUUUUGUGAGGCUGUGGCAGACCCUUUUUUAUUAUCCAUCAAAUAUAUCUCUUUUUACCAUCUGAUGGCUUUGGCAACAGGGCCAUUCUUCUUUCAAAUAAAAUAAAUGUGCCUGCAGUGUGGCAGAAUAUUCAGCGUUGAAGAGGCUUUGCCCUGGCUAAUGCGAGCCGCAUUCUGCGGGCUUCAUUACGACGGGACGCUAAUGAUGCACUCUACAGCUCCCCACGGGAUUGCUUUAUUGUACCAGCUGCAUUAUUGUUUUAUGUUAGUGUAUUGAUUAUUGCCUUCUCUGUCAUUUAGGCCAGGUUUUCUUACUUUUAUCUGCAAUUUUGGCCUACAAAUAGAAUUGCCCCAUCAUUCUGUACUAUUAAUUUUCGAAGGUGCCUGAUACCUUGUGAACCAACCAAUCAGGCCUGUCUUCAGUUGCCAUGUGAAAACUCUCAAAUUACAAAGUCACCAGGAGUCAGACGGUCUCUGAGCAUAGAGUCUUAAGCUAGUGGCUUUAACUUGAGUGUGCGUGGGAAUUGCCUGCAGGAACUUGUUGAAAGGCAAACUCCUGAGCCCCAACCCAGAAAUGUAGCAGGUGUAGGGUUGGGGCCCAAGAAGCUGCCUUUUAAAUAAUCCCUUCAGUGAUGCUCAGGAAAAGGCUUGGGAUGGGAGUGAGGGUAGAGUCAGGUGGUUGGCGAUGAGGGAACUGGCAGGAGGCCACAGACUGUGUUCCUUGACCCAGGCUCCACUCUCCCCGCUCCAGGCUGUCUCCUGGCUCCUUCCUUGCCGAGUCUUCUCUCCCCUCGUAAUCCCUCUUUUUAGCUCUGCUAUCAAGAGGUAUUUCAGAUGAGAACAUAACCACUUAGGAGAAACGCCCAAAUCAGAAAUGAUGUUAAUGCUGCUCUCUUCCUUCCAAAAGAAUUAGCCACAUAAUACAAUUUUAUGGGGAAGAGACAGGAGGGAGAGGGGAGGAAGAAGAAAAAUAUUCUAGAAUAGAACUAUAUGCAAACCAUUGCUCAGUAACAAAGCCCUCCAGGAUCUGAGGAAAAUGCUGUUUUCAAGGAAGCAACAGACUCACCUCUGUGAGGCUGGGAUGGGGGAGAAACCUGAGGCACCCAGGGAUGGCCAGAUGCAAGAAGAUGCUGCCGUGGGAGGCGCUUUCCCUCCGUUCACAGUUCCACGGACUCCCUUUGCCCUCGGGUAACACCCACUGAAAGGCGGGCCCUGAAAAGAAUGAGGCAGAUCCAUGAGGACCCAAUGGGAACUGGGAAGAAAACUCCUGGAACACCUACAAAUAAAUAAAUUAUAUUAAAACCAAAGAUAAUAAAUAACCCAAACUCAUUGAUUCCACUUAUUGUACUGUAUGUUACUUUUAUCUGUGUCCAGAGGUUAUUUACACCUAGCAUAUUUAUACAGUGAAAAUACACAAUAGUGGGCUACUAUGUGUCUUAUUCCAAUUUUGCAUUCAGUGACAUCACCUUGGCAACUUGAGAUUGACCAUGGGAGGAGUAUUUACAUUGUCGAAAUCAGCAUAUGUUGCGAAUCAGUGCUUGAUUUAUUGUUUUGUUGACUAGACUUAAAAAAGUGAUGGAGAAAAUGUUUAAUGAUGCAGAUUAAGCUUAAAAGGGUGUCAUGUCUGUAGCUGUCACAUUAUGACUAGCGCAAAAAUUUGAGGGAAUAUUCUUCCAGUAUAUGGAAACUAUUAUCUGAUUCAGCAAAGACGUCACUCAUGUCGUUGAUGAAACAAUGUAGCUCUAACACAUGUCUUCGUUUUUCACUUUUGUUCUACUCAUUAAUGUAAAUGAAAAUAUCAGCCACUAUUCAUGUCAGAAUUAUACUUGUUUAUCACUCGCAGCCUAGGAUUAGUGUGGAUAUGAGUUUGUCAAAAAUCUGCAAAAGUCUUUUAAGAGAUUCAGUUGGCUAUAUGAAAUAACAAUAAAGAGAGUCUGCUAAUUUUA